rnacentral:rRNA from 1 species
CAGCAGCCACGGUAAUACGAAGGGUGCAAGCGUUACUCGGAAUUACUGGGCGUAAAGCGUGCGUAGGUGGUUGUUUAAGUCUGCUGUGAAAGCCCUGGGCUCAACCUGGGAAUUGCAGUGGAUACUGGGCAACUAGAGUAAGGUAGAGGAUAGUGGAAUUUCCGGUGUAGCAGUGAAAUGCGUAGAGAUCGGAAGGAACAUCUGUGGCGAAGGCGACUAUCUGGGCCAUUACUGACACUGAGGCACGAAAGCGUGGGGAGCAAACAGGAUUAGAGACCCGAGUAGUCCCUGUCUCUUAUAU